UACGUAGGGUGCAAGCGUUGUCCGGAAUUAUUGGGCGUAAAGAGCUCGUAGGCGGUCUGUCGCGUCUGCUGUGAAAACUCAGGGCUUAACCCUGAGCUUGCAGUGGGUACGGGCAGACUAGAGUGCGGUAGGGGAGACUGGAAUUCCUGGUGUAGCGGUGAAAUGCGUAGAUAUCAGGGAGGAACACCGGGUGGGCCGAAGGCGGCGACCUGGUCCGACACUGACGCUGGAGGCGCGGAAAAGCCGUGGGGGAGCGAACAGG
rnacentral:rRNA from 1 species